AUUGAACGCUGGCGGCAGGCUUAACACAUGCAAGUCGAGCGAGCGGCGGACGGGUGAGUAAUGUCUGGGAAACUGCCUGAUGGAGGGGGAUAACCACUGGAAACGGUAGCUAAUACCGCAUACCAUCAGAUGUACCCAGAUGGGAUUAGCGAGUAGGCGGGGUAAUGGCUAGCCUAGGCGACGAUCCAUAGCUGGUCUGAGAGGAUAACCAGCCACACUGGAACUGGGACACGGUCCAGACUCCUACGGGAGGCAGCAGUGGGGAAUAUUGCACAAUGGGCGCAAGCCUGAGGCAGCCAUGCCGCGUGUGUGAAGAAGGCCUUCGGGUUGUAAAGCACUUUCAGCGAGGAGGCGUUACUCGCAGAAGAAGCACCGGCUAACUCCGUGCCAGCAGCCGCGGUAAUUC
rnacentral:rRNA from 1 species